GAUGAACGCUGGCGGCGUGCCUAAUACAUGCAAGUCGAGCGAACAGACGAGGAGCUUGCUCCUCUGACGUUAGCGGCGGACGGGUGAGUAACACGUGGCUAACCUACCUAUAAGACUGGGAUAACUACGGGAAACCGGAGCUAAUACCGGAUAAUAUAUUGAACCGCAUGGUUCAAUAGUGAAAGACGGUUUUGCUGUCACUUAUAGAUGGAUCCGCGCCGCAUUAGCUAGUUGGUAAGGUAACGGCUUACCAAGGCAACGAUGCGUAGCCGACCUGAGAGGGUGAUCGGCCACACUGGAACUGAGACACGGUCCAGACUCCUACGGGAGGCAGCAGUAGGGAAUCUUCCGCAAUGGGCGAAAGCUUGACGGAGCAACGCCGCGUGAGUGAUGAAGGUCUUCGGAUCGUAAAACUCUGUUAUUAGGGAAGAACAAAUGUGUAAGUAACUAUGCACGUCUUGACGGUACCUAAUCAGAAAGCCACGGCUAACUACGUG
rnacentral:rRNA from 1 species